rnacentral:rRNA from 1 species
CCUACGGGUGGCAGCAGUGGGGAAUAUUGCACAAUGGAGGGAACUCUGAUGCAGCGACGCCGCGUGAGUGAAGAAGGAAUUCGGUAUGUAAAGCUCUAUCAGCAGGGAAGAAAGUGACGGUACCUGAAAAAGAAGCUCCGGCUAAAGACGUGCCAGCAGCCGCGGUAAUACGUAUGGAGCAAGCGUUAUCCGGAUUUACUGGGUGGAAAGGGAGGGUAGGUGGCAGAGCAAGUCCGAAGUGAAAACCCAAAGCUCAACUAUGGGAAUGCUUUAGAAACUGCUCAGCUAGAGUGCAGGAGAGGCAAGUGUACUUCUUAGUGUAGCGGUGCACUGCUUAGAUCUUAGGCGGAACACCAGUGGCGAAGGCGGCUUGCUGGACUGUACCUGACACUGAGGCUCGAACGCGUGGGGAGCAAACAGGAUUAGAUACCCUUGUAGUC